rnacentral:rRNA from 1 species
CCUACGGGAGGCAGCAGUAGGGAAUUUUCGGCAAUGGGGGGAACCCUGACCGAGCAACGCCGCGUGAACGAAGAAGUUAUUCGUAAUGUAAAGUUCUUUUAACAGGGAAGAAAGAGAAAUUUGACGGUACCUGAAGAAUAAGCUCCGGCUAACUACGUGCCAGCAGCCGCGGUAAUACGUAGGGCGCGAGCGUUAUCCGGAAUUAUUGGGCGUAAAGGGUGCGUAGAUGGCAUAGUAAGUCUUUUGUAAAAAUGCUGGGUUCAACCCAGUAGGGCAAAAGAUACUGCAAAGAUAGAGUAUGACAGAGGCGAGGGGACUGAAAUGUGUAGCGGUAAAAUGCGUAAAUAUAUGAAAGAACACCAGGGGCGAAGGCGGCUUUCUGGUUCGAUACUGACAUUGAGGCACGAAAGCGUGGGGAGAAAACAGGAUUAGAUACCCGAGUAGUC